UUAGGAAUCUUGCGCAAUGGGCGAAAGCCUGACGCAGCAACGCCGCGUGGGGGAUGAAUGCUCUCGGGUUGUAAACCCCUUUCAGCAGGGACGAUUAUGACGGUACCUGCAGAAGAAGGACCGGCCAACUACGUGCCAGCAGCCGCGGUAAUACGUAGGGUCCAAGCGUUGUCCGGAUUUAUUGGGCGUAAAGAGCUCGUAGGCGGUUCGGUAAGUCGGAUGUGAAAACUCAGGGCUCAACCCGGAGACGCCAUCCGAUACUGCUGUGACUUGAGUCUGGUAGGGGAACACGGAAUUCCUGGUGUAGCGGUGAAAUGCGCAGAUAUCAGGAGGAACACCGAUGGCGAAGGCAGUGUUCUGGGCCAGUACUGACGCUGAGGAGCGAAAGCGUGGGGAGCAAACAGGAUUAGAUACCCCCGUAGUCC
rnacentral:rRNA from 1 species